UCUAAUAUGGCAGAUUAGUGCAAUGAAUUUAAGAUUCAUAUAUAAAAUAUAUUUUUUAUUGGAA
rnacentral:tRNA from 1 species